UCAGUUGGCUGGACGGCCGCUGCCGGCCGGGGCGUUAUGGCCCACGUACAACGCGCUGGUGGAGGAAAGUCCGGGCUCCAUGGAAACAGGAUGGCGGUUAACGGCCGCCGGGGGCGACCCCAGGGAAAGUGCCACAGAAAAUAGACCGCCCGAGGGCUUGCCCGAGGGUAAGGGUGAAACGGUGUGGUAAGAGCGCACCGCGGUUCCGGUAACGGCGCCGGCACGGCAAACCCCAUCCGGUGCAAGACCAAAUAGGGAUGGCCGGCAGGUGGAGAAAUCCAGCCUGCAAGCCCGUUUCCAGGCCCGCCAUCCGGGUUGGUUGCUCGAGGCGUCCAGCGAUGGGCGUCCCAGAUGAAUGGCCGUCGCGGAGGCAACUCCAGACAGAACCCGGCUUACAGGCCAACUGACAUU
rnacentral:RNase_P_RNA from 1 species